GUGUGCUCUGAAAGUGCUGGCAGGGAGUGGGGAGGAACAGGAAUUCCUGACUCCCUCUCCUGUUGUCUUACAACCAGCUGCAAUGAACCUAGCCCAGCCCCCAUUGCAGGGCAUAUCUUUUGAAGAUAGUCUCAUUCACGGGUGUACGGAUGAAGAUCUUGCUUUCGAUGGCUUACACAGAAACUGAUCAAUCACGAGCGAGGCUCUCUUGCUUUCUCCUUAGUUUCCUUCUUGCUGAUCAUUUACAACUGUAAACAAGACUAGAUCUUUUCAUGUGCCCAUCACUCACUGAAGGAAUAUCUCAUUUAACAGAUGGAGCCAGCAAGAGAAAUCACUGCCCUAGAUUGGCUGCGUGACUUGCUACAUUUCAUAACAGAAUAUUGUAGGUCACCACAUAGGCACUCUUUGAAUCUUGUCAGCAGGAUCUCGUAUUAACACUGAUCUCGUAUUAAACA